rnacentral:rRNA from 1 species
UACGAAGGGGGCUAGCGUUGCUCGGAAUCACUGGGCGUAAAGGGUGCGUAGGCGGGUCUUUAAGUCAGGGGUGAAAUCCUGGAGCUCAACGUCCAGAACCUGCCUUUGAUACUGAAGAUCUUGAGUUCGGGAGAGGUGAGUGGAACUGCGAGUGUAGAGGUGAAAUUCGUAGAUAUUCGCAAGAACACCAGUGGCGAAGGCGGCUCACUGGCCCGAUACUGACGCUGAGGCACGAAAGCGUGGGGAGCAAACAGG